GCCGGGGUGGUGAAACUGGUAGACACACAAGACUUAAAAUCUUGCGUCCGAUAGGACUUACGGGUUCAAGUCCCGUCCCCGGUACCA
rnacentral:tRNA from 1 species